rnacentral:rRNA from 1 species
UACGUAGGGUGCAAGCGUUAAUCGGAAUUACUGGGCGUAAAGCGUGCGCAGGCGGUUGUGCAAGACAGAUGUGAAAUCCCCGGGCUUAACCUGGGAACUGCAUUUGUGACUGCACGGCUAGAGUGUGUCAGAGGGGGGUAGAAUUCCACGUGUAGCAGUGAAAUGCGUAGAUAUGUGGAGGAAUACCGAUGGCGAAGGCAGCCCCCUGGGAUAACACUGACGCUCAUGCACGAAGGCGUGGGGAGCGAACGGG